rnacentral:rRNA from 1 species
GAUGAACGCUGGCGGCGUGCCUAAUACAUGCAAGUCGAGCGAAUGGAUUGAGAGCUUGCUCUUAUGAAGUUAGCGGCGGACGGGUGAGUAACACGUGGGUAACCUGCCCAUAAGACUGGGAUAACUCCGGGAAACCGGGGCUAAUACCGGAUAACAUUUUGAACCGCAUGGUUCGAAAUUGAAAGGCGGCUUCGGCUGUCACUUAUGGAUGGACCCGCGUCGCAUUAGCUAGUUGGUGAGGUAACGGCUCACCAAGGCAACGAUGCGUAGCCGACCUGAGAGGGUGAUCGGCCACACUGGGCCUGAGACACGGCCCAGACUCCUACGGGAGGCAGCAGUAGGGAAUCUUCCGCAAUGGACGAAAGUCUGACGGAGCAACGCCGCGUGAGUGAUGAAGGCUUUCGGGUCGUAAAACUCUGUUGUUCGGGAAGAACAAGUGCUAGUUGAAUAAGCUGGCACCUUGACGGUACCUAACCAGAAAGCCACGGCUAACUACGUGCCAGCCGCCGCGGUAA